CGACGGACGGGUGAGUAACACGUGGAUAACCUACCUAUAAGACUGGGAUAACUUCGGGAAACCGGAGCUAAUACCGGAUAAUAUAUUGAACCGCAUGGUUCAAUAGUGAAAGACGGUUUUGCUGUCACUUAUAGAUGGAUCCGCGCCGCAUUAGCUAGUUGGUAAAGUAACGGCUUACCAAGGCAACGAUGCGUAGCCGACCUGAGAGGGUGAUCGGCCACACUGGAACUGAGACACGGUCCAG
rnacentral:rRNA from 1 species